GGAGAAUUGGCUAUUGGAACACCAAACAGCUCAGAAACUCAGGAAGGACAAUAGCAAGAGAAGGAUCCAAUUCUACUCUACUUAACGCCUGUGUUGAUAUUGCUGAUCAAAGAAUAUCCCUUAUGUUUUUCCUUUAUAUUUUCUCAAGCUUAUUUUUUGCUCACUGCUUUCAAGACCUAA
rnacentral:lncRNA from 12 species